rfam:Saccharomyces mikatae IFO 1815 YM4906-Contig2312, whole genome shotgun sequence.
UUUUAUUGCCUAUAGAACUUAUAACGAACAUGGUUCUUGCCUUUUACCAGAACCAUCCGGGUGUUGUCUCCAAAGAAACAGGUAAAGCUGUCCGUUACUGUGAGCUUGCCAUAUUUUUUGGAAAU